rnacentral:rRNA from 1 species
UGAGCAAUCUGCCCUUCACAUCGGAAUAACCAUUGGAAACGAUGGCUAAUGCCGAAUAUGACUUCGGAUCGCAUGAUCUGAAGUGGAAAGCUCCGGCGGUGAAGGAUGAGCUCGCGGCCUAUCAGCUCGUUGGUGAGGUAAUAGCUCACCAAGGCAAUAACGGGUAGCCGGCCUGAGAGGGUGACCGGCCACACUGGGACUGAGACACGGCAGA